rnacentral:lncRNA from 1 species
CUGGAGAAUUCCAUGGACUGUAUAGUCCAUGAGGUCGCAAAGAAUCAGACACAACUGAGCGACUUUCACUUUCACUUUUCUUUGGACUGCCCCUGGUCAAAACUGAUACCACGGGACUUCCCUGGCGGUCCAGUAGUUAAGAUUCUGCCCUUCCAACGUAGGGGCUGCAGGUCUGAUCCCUGGUUGGGAAACUAAGACCCCACAUGCCACGUGGCCUGAACAAAUUAAAAAAACAAAAAGCCACACUGGUGUCACUAACAAGGGGCCAUGCGGUUUUUUUAUUUGGCUAUGCCAGGUCUUAGUUGCAGCAUGUGGGAUCUAGUUCCCUGACCAGGGAUUGAACCUAGGCUCCCUGCACUGGGAGCUCAGAGUCUUAGCCACCGGACCACCAGGGGAGUCCCCUGCUGGGGACUAUUAAGCAGGGUUCACGUACACAUUUAUCCUAGCAUUUCCUCAGAGCAAGGGUUACGGUGGCCGUGCAGGAUAAUCCCCUGGGUGGACAGGGAGCCACGAUUGAGGGGAAGGUGAAGAAUCAAACGCAAGACUGAAUCCCGGAGGAGGUCCCUGUGAUUCUAAUUUCACACAUGAAUGUAUGAAGUGCCUACCUUGUGUCCAGGGAGCUGUUCCAUCCUCAGGACCACCUGUGGGGUAGGGACCAAGGCUCUUCCAUUUAUGAGCAGCGUUGGGUGUAAGUCCAUGUUUUCCCACCUAAAAAAAACUCUGAAUAAUUCCAAGGUGAACUGUAUGGACAAGAGGGAGCUUCCCCAUCUGUUUGGCAAAAGCAGGCGUAGAUCCUCUUUGGCGGGAAGGCUUCUCAGGUUAGUCUGCAGGAAUCCUACAAAUUAAAAUUCAGCACAAACAAAAUCAACAAAUAUUUGCAAGUCACUAUGAACAAAAGCUAACAGAAACAAGAAGCAACAGCUGUAGGUCCCCAAGGACAACAGAUCUUUCUAUUGUAGCAACAGCAUGCAGAAUUGUGAAAAAUAAAACAUCUAAAAAAAGGAUACA